rnacentral:rRNA from 1 species
UACGGAGGGAGCUAGCGUUGUUCGGAAUUACUGGGCGUAAAGCGCGCGUAGGUGGUUUGGUAAGUUGGAUGUGAAAGCCCCGGGCUCAACCUGGGAACUGCAUCCAAAACUGCCUGACUAGAGUACGGUAGAGGGUGGUGGAAUUUCCUGUGUAGCGGUGAAAUGCGUAGAUAUCGAGAGGAACACCUGCGGCGAAGGCGGUUAGCUGGGCAGUUGCUGACACUGAGGCGCGACAGCGUGGGGAGCAAACAGG